rnacentral:rRNA from 1 species
GGAAUCGCUAGUAAUCGCAGAUCAGAAUGCUGCGGUGAAUACGUUCCCGGGUCUUGUACACACCGCCCGUCACACCAUGGGAGUCGGAAAUGCCCGAAGUCAGUGGCCCAACCGGAAGGAGGGAGCUGCCGAAGGCAGGUCCGGUGACUGGGGUGAAGUCGUAACAAGGUACC